GACGAAUGCUGGCGGCGUGCUUAACACAUGCCAGUCGAACGGAAAGGCCCUGCUUGCAGGGUACUCGAGUGGCGAACGGGUGAGUAACACGUGGGUGAUCUGCCCUGCACUUCGGGAUAAGCCUGGGAAACUGGGUCUAAUACCGGAUAGGAGCCAUUUUUAGUGUGAUGGUUGGAAAGUUUUUUCGGUUUAGGUUGAGCGCGCGGCCUAUCUGCUUGUUGGUGGGGUAAUGGCUUACCAAGGCGGCGACGGGUAGCCGGCCUGGGAGGGUGGACGGCCACAAUGGGACUGAGAUACGGACCAGACUCCAACGGGAGGCAGCAGUGGGGAAUAUUGCACAAUGGGCGCAAGCCUGAUGCAGAGACGCCGCGUGGGGGAUGACGGCCUUCGGGUUGUAAACACCUUUUGCUAGGGACGAAGCUUUUGUGACGGUACCUGGAUAAGAAGCACCGGCUAACUACGUG
rnacentral:rRNA from 1 species